AGCGAACGCUGGCGGCAGGCCUAAAACAUGCAAGUCGAGCGCCGUAGCAAUACGGAGCGGCAGACGGGUGAGUAACACGUGGGAACGUGCCCUUUGGUUCGGAACAACACAGGGAAACUUGUGCUAAUACCGGAUAAGCCCUUACGGGGAAAGAUUUAUCGCCAAAGGAUCGGCCCGCGUCUGAUUAGCUAGUUGGUGGGGUAACGCCCACCAAGGCGACGAUCAGUAGCUGGUCUGAGAGGAUGAUCAGCCACACUGGGACUGAGACACGGCCCAGACUCCUACGGGAGGCAGCAGUUAGGAAUCUUGGACAAUGGGCGCAAGCCUGAUCCAGCCAUGCCGCGUGAGUGAUGAAGGCCCUAGGGUUGUAAAGCUCUUUCACCCGCGACGAUGAUGACGGUAGCGGGAGAAGAA
rnacentral:rRNA from 1 species